rnacentral:rRNA from 1 species
CCUUGUUCUCGCUGGUCUUGUCGCCGAUGGGCAGACCGUCGUCCACGAUGUCGAGCACAUCGACCGCGGUUACCCCUACUUUGUCGAGAGCCUCAAUGCGCUCGGCGCCAACGUGCAACGAAUUAGCGUUUAAAACGCUUAUCGACGGCACCUAAAAACCGUGUUUGUGCUGGGGGUUUGUGUUGUUGGUGGUUGGUGUGUAGCUUUAUGUGAGUCAGCGUGACCGACAACGCCCCGCCGGACAGUGUGGUUUGGUGAGAUGGCGGUAGGAAAACAAUCGUUGGCAGGGAUCUGAAACAUUUUCACUGGGUAUCAAGUGAUUUGCUUGGUGUGGUGGUGGGUGUGUAGGGUCGUCCGAGCUACUUCAAGCAGGUCCGAUUGGUUUCGGGUGUGUUUGGGUGUGCGUGUGUUGUGUGAGAACUCGAUAGUGUGCCAAUGUUUUUUGGUUGGUUGUGUGCGACCUUUUUGAUGCCUGCACGUGUUUUGUGUGUGGUGUGUGCUGGUCGGUGGUGCCUGAACCUAUUGAUGGGGUGUCACUGUGCUGGUUGGUCGUGUGUGACUGAUUGGAAAUAUAUUUUUUGUCGUCCCUGUUCUUCCUCGUCGGAUGUGGGGGCGGCUGUUUUGGAUGAACCUUUUGGUUUGUCUAGUAAUUUUAGGAUUGCCAGUUCACGCACUGGCGCUGCGGAUGUUUGUGUUUGUGGUGUUUGUGUGUGGGUGGUUUUGUUUUGGUUGGGUUUUGGGCUUUUCACGGCCUGUUUCACUGUGUUUUGUUGAAACUGUUUUUGUGGAGAGUUUGAUCCUGGCUCAGGAUGAACGCUGGCGGCGUGCUUAACACAUGCAAGUCGAACGGAAAGGCCGAAGCUUGCUUCGGUACUCGAGUGGCGAACGGGUGAGUAACACGUGGGUGAUCUGCCCUGCACUUUGGGAUAAGCCUGGGAAACUGGGUCUAAUACCAGAUAGGACCACGUCUUGGAUGGUGUGGUGGAAAGUUUUUUCGGUGUGGGAUGAGCUCGCGGCCUAUCAGCUUGUUGGUGGGGUAAUGGCCUACCAAGGCGUCGACGGGUAGCCGGCCUGAGAGGGUGUACGGCCACAUUGGGACUGAGAUACGGCCCAGACUCCUACGGGAGGCAGCAGUGGGGAAUAUUGCACAAUGGGCGCAAGCCUGAUGCAGCGACGCCGCGUGGGGGAUGACGGCCUUCGGGUUGUAAACUCCUUUCGCCAGGGACGAAGCGUCAGUGACGGUACCUGGAUAAGAAGCACCGGCUAACUACGUGCCAGCAGCCGCGGUAAUACGUAGGGUGCGAGCGUUGUCCGGAAUUACUGGGCGUAAAGAGCUCGUAGGUGGUUUGUCGCGUCGUUUGUGUAAUACCGCAGCUUAACUGCGGGGUUGCAGGCGAUACGGGCAUAACUUGAGUGCUGUAGGGGAGACUGGAAUUCCUGGUGUAGCGGUGGAAUGCGCAGAUAUCAGGAGGAACACCGAUGGCGAAGGCAGGUCUCUGGGCAGUAACUGACGCUGAGGAGCGAAAGCAUGGGUAGCGAACAGGAUUAGAUACCCUGGUAGUCCAUGCCGUAAACGGUGGGCGCUAGGUGUGAGUCCCUUCCACGGGGUUCGUGCCGUAGCUAACGCAUUAAGCGCCCCGCCUGGGGAGUACGGCCGCAAGGCUAAAACUCAAAGGAAUUGACGGGGGCCCGCACAAGCGGCGGAGCAUGUGGAUUAAUUCGAUGCAACGCGAAGAACCUUACCUGGGCUUGACAUGCACCGGAUCGCUGCAGAGAUGUAGUUUCCCUUGUGGCUGGUGUACAGGUGGUGCAUGGUUGUCGUCAGCUCGUGUCGUGAGAUGUUGGGUUAAGUCCCGCAACGAGCGCAACCCUUGUCUUAUGUUGCCAGCAUUUGGUUGGGGACUCAUGAGAGACUGCCGGGGUUAACUCGGAGGAAGGUGGGGAUGACGUCAAAUCAUCAUGCCCCUUAUGUCCAGGGCUUCACACAUGCUACAAUGGUCGGUACAACGCGCAGCUACUUCGUGAGGAGGCGCUAAUCGCUGAAAGCCGGUCUUAGUUCGGAUUGGGGUCUGCAACUCGACCCCAUGAAGUCGGAGUCGCUAGUAAUCGUAGAUCAGCAACGCUGCGGUGAAUACGUUCCCGGGCCUUGUACACACCGCCCGUCACGUCAUGAAAGUUGGUAACACCCGAAGCCAGUGGCCCAAACUUGUUAGGGAGCUGUCGAAGGUGGGAUCGGCGAUUGGGACGAAGUCGUAACAAGGUAGCCGUACCGGAAGGUGCGGCUGGAUCACCUCCUUUCUAAGGAGCAUUACUUUUUAUUGGCCCCGCAUGGUCAGGUAGUUACCUGUACUGGGUGUGGGGUUGGGCUGUUGAGUGUCCGUGUGUGGUGCUGCAGACCCGUAUUUUUGUGAAAAUGUCCAGGUGGACACGCACCCGGGGGGCAUGGAUGCCUCCAGGAGAAGCACAUGAUUCAUGGUGUGGGUGUCGCAUGAUUGAGCAAUCAACCGGUUUUUGUCAGAAGCAUUGGUGCGCUGUUGGGUGUCUGGGGCAGCACAUGGUGCCCGCACACUUGUGUGUGGGUGGUUGUCCUUGUGGCCCGGAUAGAUACGAAUGUCACUGUGGUGGUGUUUGUGUCUGCUGGGUGUGGUGUGUGAGAACUGUAUAGUGGACGCGAGCAUCUUUCUUCUUUGAA